UAAAGACUUAAGCUAAAAAAACUAAAAGCCUUCAAAGCUUUAAUUGGACCUAAAACCAGUCUUUAA
rnacentral:tRNA from 1 species